rnacentral:rRNA from 1 species
CAGAGGGUGCGAGCGUUAAUCGGAAUUACUGGGCGUAAAGCGCGCGUAGGCGGCUUUGCAAGUCGGGUGUGAAAUCCCCAGGCUUAACCUGGGAACUGCAUUCGAGACUGCUUUGCUAGAGUAUGGGAGAGGGAAGUGGAAUUUCAGGUGUAGCGGUGAAAUGCGUAGAUAUCUGAAGGAGCAUCAGUGGCGAAAGCGACUUCCUGGACCAAUACUGACGCUCAUGUGCGAAAGCGUGGGGAGCAAACAGGAUUAGAUACCCUGGUAGUCCACGCCAUAAACGAUGAGAACUGGAUGUCGGAAGGGUCUGCCUUCCGGUGUCGUAGCUAACGCGUUAAGUUCUCCGCCUGGGGAGUACGGCCGCAAGGUUG